rnacentral:misc_RNA from 1 species
GAAUACGGUCUGGAGCUUCAAUCCACUAUUCGCAGAAGACAAGGUGGUGAAAAUGGUCUUGCAAUUGAGGUUAGGAAAUAUCUGACCUCUAGGAAGAUGGCAAACAAGGCAAUCAAAAAGGCCUUGACCAAUUUGAAGGGUUUAGAGAACAAAUGCUCCUUCUCCUGCAUUGACACAGGAAAUGAGAUUGCAACCUUGGUUAAUUUGUUAAGAGAGGUUCAAGCAAUCACUCUCUGUGUCUUGAAAUCCUUCUUGACUUUCAUCUCUGGCCCAAAGGCACAGUCCAAGCCAAGCCACUGGUCCUUGGUCUCCAAGCUUGUCCUCCACAAAAGAAUAGCAUCUGAGGAAGGAGAAACGCAGGAGAAUGAAUUUGUAAUGGCGGAUGCUGCAUUGGAAUUUCUUGUGGGAUGCAAGACUGAGUGCAAAUAUGAUAAUUAC